rnacentral:RNase_P_RNA from 1 species
GAAGUCGGCCGGGCAGUCGCUGCAGUAUUGCGGAGGAAAGUCCGGGCUCCACUGGGCAGGGUGCCAGGUAACCCCUGGGCGGCGUGAGCCGACGGAAAGUGCCGCAGAAAACAGACCGCCGAUGGCCAUCUCUGCAUGGCACAGGUAAGGGUGAAAUGGUGCGGUAAGAGCGCACCGCGCGGCUGGUAACAGGCGUGGCACGGUAAACCCCACCCGGAGCAAGACCAAAUAGGGGAGCAGACGCGUGGCCCGCGCGGCUCCCGGGUAGGUCGCUCAAGGUGCAUGGCGACAUGCAUCACAGAUGAAUGGCUGUCCUCGACAGAACCCGGCUUACAGGCCGGCUUCCCUU